rnacentral:misc_RNA from 1 species
GCUUGCUGGGUUUCUCUGUG